rnacentral:rRNA from 1 species
CCCUUAGAUGUUCUGGGCCGCACGCGCGCUACACUGAUGCAUUCAACGAGUCUAAAACCUGCUCUGAUAGGGGUGGGUAAUCUUUUGAAUGUGCACCGUGAUUGGGAUAGAUGAUUGCAAUUUUUCAUCUUCAACGAGGAAUGCCUAGUAAACGCAAGUCAUCAGCUUGCAUUGAUUACGUUCCUGCCCUUUGUACACACCGCCCGUCGCUCCUACCGAUUGAAUGAUCCGAUGAAUAUCAUGGAUUGAGGAUGCAAGUAGGUUAGCCUAUCUUCAUCUUCGAGAAGUGAAGUAAAUCUUAUCAUUUAGAGGAAGGAGAAGUCGUAACA